GAUGAACGCUGGCGGCGUGCUUAACACAUGCAAGUCGAACGAUGAAGCCCAGCUUGCUGGGUGGAUUAGUGGCGAACGGGUGAGUAACACGUGGGUAACCUGCCCUUAACUCUGGGAUAAGCCUGGGAAACUGGGUCUAAUACCGGAUAGGAGCGUCCACCGCAUGGUGGGUGUUGGAAAGAUUUAUCGGUUUUGGAUGGACUCGCGGCCUAUCAGCUUGUUAGUGGGGUAAUGGCUCACCAAGGCGACGACGGGUAGCCGGCCUGAGAGGGUGACCGGCCACACUGGGACUGAGACACGGCCCAGACUCCUACGGGAGGCAGCAGUGGGGAAUAUUGCACAAUGGGCGCAAGCCUGAUGCAGCGACGCCGCGUGAGGGAUGACGGCCUUCGGGUUGUAAACCUCUUUCAGUAGGGAAGAAGCGAAAGUGACGGUACCUGCAGAAGAAGCACCGGCUAACUACGUG
rnacentral:rRNA from 1 species